CCUACUCCUACACCCAUCCUUACCGUGUUUCCACAAGUUACUCCCACGACUAGUGUUAACCAAUCAGUUCCUGUAGAAACCUCGCCAGGUGUACAGAGCUCUAGGCAAAGCAAUGACAUCAAUGACGCAAAUGACCAAGUUGAUGCCGAUUCAGAGGGUCAUACAAUUGAAGGAGAACCAGUUGGUGACUUUGUUCCUGCGCCCCGAAAGGAAGUCCGCAAGAAAACCAUAGGGCUUGGCUUAGAGAAGAUGAUAAAGAGAGGAAACAAGCUGCCUAUCCAAGUGGCUGAAGGGAAGAAAAAACCUGAUGUCCCACUUCAAGCAGCGAAGCUGGCAUCAGAAACUGGUGUAGCUCUUAGAGACAAGCUGCCUAUCUACACAUCUUGGAAGCUUUAUGAAAAAGAUGGGGGGCCAGUACAAGUACAAAAAGUGCUUGAUAAAGUGGCGAAUAGGUUGGAUGUGGAUGUUAAGAAUGAUGGACCAAGCAAAUCUGCAUGCACUGAUAUCAUUAAGAAGGGAGUAAAGCAGCAGAGGUAUCACCUAAAAAGGAAGUACUUCGACGAGUCCCU